UCGCACUUGGUCACGUCCGGAAUAGCAAUAGUCGGGAGAGCGUUGGUCAAGAGGUCGCGGGCGAGUGAAGUAGCUGUUGACGAUGUCAUAGUCCGAUCGCCGAUGCCCAGCCGGACCCAGAGGCCAUCGAUGAGAGCAGACAUUGACAGGGAUAGUCGCUCGGCUUGCGAGUGUGGAACCAAUGAACGAAACCCCGACAUCAGGUUCGAAUGCAUCCGCGCAUGGAAAAUACUCUGCAAUCUUGCCAGCUGCGGCUCUCGCGGAGCCUCAGCGCAUAGCGA
rnacentral:sRNA from 1 species